CUACCAGACUCCUACGGGAGGCAGCAGUGGGGAAUAUUGCACAAUGGGGGAAACCCUGAUGCAGCGACGCCGCGUGAGCGAUGAAGUAUUUCGGUAUGUAAAGCUCUAUCAGCAGGGAAGAAGAUGACGGUACCUGACUAAGAAGCCCCGGCUAACUACGUGCCAGCAGCCGCGGUAAUACGUAGGGGGCAAGCGUUAUCCGGAUUUACUGGGUGUAAAGGGAGCGUAGACGGCGAUGCAAGCCAGAUGUGAAAGCCCAGGGCUCAACCCUGGGACUGCUUUUGAAACUGCCGGGCUGGAGUGCAGGAGAGGUAAGCGGAAUUCCUAGUGUAGCGGUGAAAUGCGUAGAUAUUAGGAGGAACACCAGUGGCGAAGGCGGCUUACUGGACUGUAACUGACGUUGAGGCUCGAAAGCGUGGGGAGCAAACAGGAUUAGAUACCCCCGUACG
rnacentral:rRNA from 1 species